rnacentral:rRNA from 1 species
GACGAACGCUGGCGGCGUGCUUAACACAUGCAAGUCGAACGGAAAGGCCCUGCUUUUGUGGGGUGCUCGAGUGGCGAACGUGUGAGUAACACGUGAGUAACCUGCCCUUGACUUUGGGAUAACUUCAGGAAACUGGGGCUAAUACCGGAUAGGAGCUCCUGCUGCAUGGUGGGGGUUGGAAAGUUUCGGCGGUUGGGGAUGGACUCGCGGCUUAUCAGCUUGUUGGUGGGGUAGUGGCUUACCAAGGCUUUGACGGGUAGCCGGCCUGAGAGGGUGACCGGCCACAUUGGGAAUGAGAUACGGCACAGACUCGUACGGGAGGAAGCAGUGGGGAAUAUUGCACAAUGGGCGGAAGCCUGAUGCAGCAACGCCGCGUGCGGGAUGACGGACUUCGGGUUGUAAACCGCUUUAGCCUGUGACGAAGCGUGAGUGAAGGUAAUGGGUAAAGAAGCACCGGCGAACUACGUG